UGUGAAAAAUAAUUUUAGAAGUUUUAGAGACUACAAGUGAAGUUUUAACUGGUACUAAACAUAUGAGUAUUAAUAUUAUUGAUUUUUUAAUGGGUUUAUAAGAAAAAAAUUAUCGUCUGAAAUUUUACCUAGUUGUGGAUUUUGAAUACCACUACUUGUUUACACCAAACAUAAACAACUUUGUAUAUAAACCCCUACAUAGUAAAAGAAAUACAUUUAGUAUUAUGGGUGAAAUUUCAGUUAGUAUCAGCAACCCCCGUGCAACAACUAGUUUGGAUAUCAGAUCGCUGCAAAUAGCUCCCUUUUUUCUCUUCUCAUCUCAUGCCAUUGCCCUAGGCGAGGAGAUUGGAGGUGAGGCUAGGACUUGAAGAGGUGAAGGGUGCUAGAUAGAGAUUAGGGUCAAGAUUUGGAAAGAGAAGGUCUCGGCGUCGGAUUCACAUUGGCAGUGAAGCACAUUGUCGGAGUUGGAGAUCGAAGUAGGGUCUGCCAAGGAAUUAAUUAGGGACAGAGACUCUGGAAUUAUGGCUCUAUUCUUUCUCUCUCUCAUGCUUGCUCACUCACAUGCACACAAUUUCUGUAUUCUGGACAAUAACUUGAGAUGAUGAACAAAAAUUUGGAACCCACGUCUUAAAAAUUAUUACUACAAGGCUUCAAAAAAUAGAUAUUGAGGUCGAUAAUGAACCAAGCUGGAGAGUUGAAAGUUGAACUAAAUCGAUAUAGAUCGUGAUCAAAUCUACAAAAGAAGUCUUAAAACCGUGGGAUACUCUUCAAUUUAGGAUCCUCCAAUACUUAAGUCGGCCA
rnacentral:lncRNA from 1 species